GACAGAGGGGGCAAGCGUUGCUCGGAAUCACUGGGCGUAAAGGGCGCGUAGGCGGGAUGGCAAGUCGGUCGUGAAAUCCUUCGGCUCAACCGAAGAACGUCGGCCGAUGCUGCCGUUCUUGAGGGAUGCAGAGGAGAUUGGAAUUUCCGGUGUAGCGGUGAAAUGCGUAGAUAUCGGAAGGAACAUCAGUGGCGAAAGCGGCUUCCUGGACCAGUACCGACGUUCAGGCGCGAAAGCGUGGGGAGCAAACAGG
rnacentral:rRNA from 1 species